rnacentral:rRNA from 1 species
CCUACGGGCGGCAGCAGUGGGGAAUAGUGCAAAAUGGGGGAAACCCUGAUGCAGCGACGCAGCGUGAAGGAAGAAGUAUUUCGGUAUGUAAACUUCUAGCAGCAGGGAAGAAAAUGACGGUACCUGACUAAGAAGCACAGGCUAACUACGUGCCAGCAGCAGCGGUAAUAAGUAGGGGGCAAGCGUUAUCCGGAUUUACUGGGUGUAAAGGGAGCGUAGGCGGCGAUGCAAGUCAGAAGUGACAGCCCGGAGCUCAACUCCGGGACUGCGUUUGAAACUGUUUUGCGAGAUUGCAGGAGAGGUAAGUGGAAUUCCUAGUGUAGCGGUGAAAGGCGUAGAGAUUAGGAGGAACACCAGUGGCGAAGGCGGCUUACUGGACUGUAAAUGACGCUGAGGCUCGAAAGCGUGGGGAGCAAACAGGAUUAGAUACCCCUGUAGUC